CUGGUGAUCACUUUGGCCCCAUUCAUGGGUUGGCAUGUCAGACCUUUCCAAGGGAGGGGUAGACAUGGGUCUCCUGACCAACUCUGCAACAGUUGAUUUUCUUUAUUAUGCGAAAGCAGUUCAUCUCUCACCAUCUUUAUUGUGUCCACGUCUUGCUGGUUAGUUCCUUGAAUCCAUGGGUACACUUGAAGGAUCUCAUAAGCAUUUAAAAUGGGCCCAAAGACAGACCU
rnacentral:misc_RNA from 1 species